UACGUAGGGGGCUAGCGUUGUCCGGAUUUAUUGGGCGUAAAGAGCGUGUAGGCGGCUUGGCAAGUCUGCUGUGAAAACUCGAGGCUCAACCUCGAGCUGUCGGUGGAAACUGCUUGGCUAGAGUCCGGAAGAGGAGAGUGGAAUUCCUGGUGUAGCGGUGGAAUGCGCAGAUAUCAGGAGGAACACCGAUAGCGAAGGCAGCUCGCUGGGACGGUACUGACGCUGAGGCGCGAAAGCGUGGGGAGCGAACAGG
rnacentral:rRNA from 1 species